rnacentral:hammerhead_ribozyme from 1 species
AUGCUGAGGAGUCCCAAAAUAGGACGAAACGGCCGUCCAGUGU